rnacentral:lncRNA from 13 species
AUGCACUGUGGAAUGCACAGAAGGGAUUUUUAUUGCACUUUCAGUUGGGCCAUUUUUACUUGGAGCAACGCCACUUGUUUGCUUCUCUUCAAAACAUUGCAUACUGCAAUACCAUAUAUGAUCAAGUGGCCAACACAUGGGUGCAGCUUGAACGGCCUGAUAAAGAUCAAGACCAUCCUGUCCACUGAUACCCAGCUCUACCUCGGUUUGGCCACCACUCUCCUGGCUAUCCUACCUAUGUCAAUCAAACUAUUGGUGAACCCUACUCUAUGGCAGUUCAAACUUCCCUUGUAUGCUGCCAUUGUUACUGAAGGAUGGUCUGUUGGUGCCGUACGUGGUCACCUCCCUGGCCUUCCUGUUCGUCAGCGUAUACCUGCUUUUCCACCCUUGGAGCAUUGCUCAGAAGACGAGCUGCGUCUGGGGCCCUACCACCGCCCCAUCCGUAUGCCCAGCAUGGACCUCGGAAGGGUCACCAAGUGGAAAUUCUACAUCUCCAUCGUGGCCAUGGCUGGUUUGUGCUUUAUGAGCAUGGCGCUGGCCCCUCUGGCCAGGCUGCCUGAUUUGUUUCCCCUCCUGGUGUCAGUGUUCUUUUCCACCACUUCCUGGGCCUCCUCUUCUACUUCAACCUUGUCCAGAUUGCCGAGCCGCCUCCACCUGGGAGUAAGAAUCAGAGUAGUCGCUACCCGGUAG